GACGAACGCUGGCGGCGUGCCUAAUACAUGCAAGUCGAACGAGAGCGACCGGUGCUUGCACUGGUCAAUCUAGUGGCGAACGGGUGAGUAACACGUGGGUAACCUGCCCAUCAGAGGGGGAUAACAUCCGGAAACGGAUGCUAAAACCGCAUAGGUCUUCGAACCGCAUGGUUUGAAGAGGAAAAGAGGCGCAAGCUUUUGCUGAUGGAUGGACCCGCGGUGCAUUAGCUAGUUGGUGAGGUAACGGCUCACCAAGGCCGUGAUGCAUAGCCGACCUGAGAGGGUGAUCGGCCACAUUGGGACUGAGACACGGCCCAAACUCCUACGGGAGGCAGCAGUAGGGAAUCUUCCGCAAUGGACGCAAGUCUGACGGAGCAACGCCGCGUGAGUGAAGAAGGUUUUCGGAUCGUAAAACUCUGUUGUUAGAGAAGAACAAGUGCUAGAGUAACUGUUAGCGCCUUGACGGUAGCUAACCAGAAAGCCACGGCUAACUACGUG
rnacentral:rRNA from 1 species